UCCGGUUGAUCCUGCCGGACCCCACUGCUAUCGGGAUAGGACUAAGACAUGCUAGUCGUGUGCCUCAGCCAAAACGAGGCACGGCGCACAGCUCAGUAACACGUGGCUAACCUGCCCUUAGGACGAGAAUAACCCCGGGAAACUGGGGCUAAUGCUCGAUAGGUGAAGAACUCUGGAAUGAGUCUUCACUUAAAAGAGUCUGCGUUAUGCUCGUAGAUUUCGCUUAAGGAUGGGGCCGCGACCGAUCAGGUUGUUGGUGAGGUAAUGGCUCACCAAGCCUUUUACCGGUGCGGGCCGUGAGAGCGGGAGCCCGGAGAUGGGCACUGAGACAAGGGCCCAGGCCCUACGGGGCGCAGCAGUCGCGAAAACUUUGCAAUACACGAAAGUGUGACAGGGCUAUCCCGAGUGUCAUCCGCUGAGGAAGGCUUUUACCCAGUCUAGAACGUUGGGGGAAUAAGGAGAGGGCAAGUCUGGUGUCAGCCGCCGCGGUAAUACCAGCUCUCCGAGUGGUGUGGAUGUUUAUUGGGCCUAAAGCAUCCGUAGCUGGCUAAGUUAGUCCCCUGUUAAAUCCAACGAAUUAAUCGUUGGAUCGCGGGGGAUACUGCUUGGCUAGGGGACGAGAGAGGCAGACGGUAUUUCCGGGGUAGGGGUGAAAUCCUAUAAUCCCGGGAAGACCACCAGUGGCGAAGGCUGUCUGCUAGAACGCGCCCGACGGUGAGGGAUGAAAGCUGGGGGAGCGAACCGGAUUAGAUACCCGGGUAGUCCCAGCUGUAAACGAUGCAGGCUAGGUGUUUGGACGGCCACGUGCCGUUCUAGUGCCGCAGGGAAGCUGUUAAGCCUGCCGCCUGGGGAGUACGAUCGCAAGAUUGAAACUUAAAGGAAUUGGCGGGGGAGCACCACAAGGGGUGAAGCUUGCGGUUUAAUUGGAUUCAACGCCGGG
rnacentral:rRNA from 1 species